rnacentral:rRNA from 1 species
GGCUUACCAAGGCAACGAUGCGUAGCCGACCUGAGAGGGUGAUCGGCCACACUGGAACUGAGACACGGUCCAGACUCCUACGGGAGGCAGCAGUAGGGAAUCUUCCGCAAUGGGCGAAAGCCUGACGGAGCAACGCCGCGUGAGUGAUGAAGGUCUUCGGAUCGUAAAACUCUGUUAUUAGGGAAGAACAAAUGUGUAAGUAACUAUGCACGUCUUGACGGUACCUAAUCAGAAAGCCACGGCUAACUACGUGCCAGCAGCCGCGGUAAUACGUAGGUGGCAAGCGUUAUCCGGAAUUAUUGGGCGUAAAGCGCGCGUAGGCGGUUUUUUAAGUCUGAUGUGAAAGCCCACGGCUCAACCGUGGAGGGUCAUUGGAAACUGGAAAACUUGAGUGCAGAAGAGGAAAGUGGAAUUCCAUGUGUAGCGGUGAAAUGCGCAGAGAUAUGGAGGAACACCAGUGGCGAAGGCGACUUUCUGGUCUGUAACUGACGCUGAUGUGCGAAAGCGUGGGGAUCAAACAGGAUUAGAUAC